AUCCGGGACUUUCCAGGAAAAGCCAGCUAUGGCCGCCGAAGGUGCCUCACGGAAACUUGCCGAUUUGCGCGUUGUUGAUUUGCGCCAGGAAUUGGAAAAGAGGGGCUUAGAUAAGACUGGAGUAAAGGCUGUUUUGACAGAACGGUUGCAAAAGGCCUUGGAAGAGGAAGGACAUAACCCAGAAGAAUUUAAUUUUGAAUCAGCAAACACACCCAAAAAAGGAAUUGCAAGCAAAGCUAAUGACAAAUCAGAGGGAAAAGAUGAAACAAGAGAGAAGGAUGGGGAUGAGGAGGAGAUGGAAGACUCUUUACUGACAUCAGAGGAUGACAAACAAGAAAAUGGAGAUGAUGCUGUCAUUGAUGAUGCUAAACUUUUGGAGGAUGCUCCUGACACUACAGAAGCUAUGGAGACUGACGUAAAACCUACCAGUGAACAAUCUGAAGUCAAGCAGGAAGCUGAAAAAGUUGAGAAAAAUGUAAUGCAUGUGGACCAAACUGAGAUUUCUAUCAAUGUGACUGUAACAAAGGGGGAUAUCUCUGUAGAAACAAGUCAAACAACAGACAACAAAGCACUGACACCAAGGAUCAGAAAAAGGAUGACAAAGGAAAAAGCACAUCUGGCAGGAAUCUAUGGGUCAGUGGGUUGUCCUCAUCUACGAGAGCAACAGAUUUAAAAUCCUUGUUCAGCAAAUAUGGGAAAGUUGUUGGUGCUAAAGUAGUAACAAAUGCUAAAAGUCCUGGAUCCAGGUGUUACGGGUUUGUUACCAUGUCAACAGCAGAUGAAGCUUCUAAGUGUAUUCAGCAUCUGCACCGCACUGAACUCCAUGGCAAAAUGAUUUCUGUAGAAAGGGCCAAAAAUGAACCUGGGGCUCAAGCAAAGAGUAUGGCUGGUACCCCAGGUCCAGCAAGCCGUGGUGUUAAGGCUGAAGACAGGAAAGCUCCGCCGGUUAAACGAGAUGAUAGGGGCAAGAGAGAUGAAAAGAAGACAGCAGAUAAAAAAGACAACAAAAAGGAUGAGAAAAAAGAUGACAAAACUCCUACCAAAAAAGAGGAGAAGAAAGAGCCUGUGAAGAAAGAUGCCCAUACUGUUAGAAAAACUACACCUAAAAAGACUGAUGAUAAGCCAAGAACAGUGGUAAUGGAUAAAGAGAAGGGGGAACCUGUAGUUGUAAUUAAGGAGGAAGAGUCCAAAGAGACCAAGGAAAUGGCACCAUCAGAACGGGCAAAGUCAAUUACAUCAAGUCACUCCAAGAGUGAACCGAAGAAAGAGGAGAAGAAAGAUGUUUUAUCCUUUGAUAAGAUCAAGGAGGAAAGGGAGAGAGAGCGACUGCGACAGAGGGAGCGUAGAAUGAGAGAGGAAGAAAGGAAAAGGCGAUGGGAGAUCGAGCAAGAGAAGAAGCGACAAAGGGAUGUUCACAUGAAGCAGAGGGCUGAGGCCAUACGUCUGGCUAGAGAAAGGGAAAAGCUCAGAAGAGACCGGGACCAGCUGGAGAAAGAGAAGCUGGAGUUGCAGCGUCUUGAGAAGUUGAGACUGGAGCAGUUGGAACGUGACAGACUGGAGAGGGAGAGGGAGGACAAGAGGAGGCUAGAACAGCUCAGACUGGAAGCUGAGCAAAUGAGAAGAAUGGCAAUGAAAAGACCUUAUGAUUCUCGUGGAGGCAGAGAGGAAUUCUGGACUGAGGCCAAACGUCCAGCUGUCACCGAGACUCGAUUCGCUGCUAACUCAACAUUUACUUCAGACAGAUUAUAUGAUGAUAGCAGAGACAAUCGAAUGUCUGAUCGAAGUGAAACCACUGCCUUUGACAGGAAAGUGGAGCGAUAUGACAGACGAGAAGACCGGUCCAUGGACUCCAGAGACAACCGCACUGAUAGAUCGUUUGGUGACAGGCGAGACAGGGACAACUUUAGUAGAGACAGCAGACCAGAAAGAAGAAGCACCGAAAGAUUCGAGCGGGAAAGGGACAGAAGCAAUGCUCGAGAUGACCGGAGAGACAGUUUUCAGCGGGACCGAUCAGACAGACGAGACGAUAGGGACAGUGACAGACGUGGGGCUAGAACUCCCCCCAGGGACAGUCGAUCAGAGUGGAAGUCAGAGAGAGAGAGACAGGGAGGCAAUGACACACGGAUGGUUGUCCGGGGGACAAGCUCUGGCAGGGAUAACUGGCAGGGAGGGGGCACUGGCUCCAGUCUGCAGGAUGACAGAAACAGGUCACGGGUCGGCAUCACUCACAAUCCUGGGCCAGGCCUUCUUGGUAGUGCACCAAGUUCACAAAGGAAUUGGGGCAGCAGCUCUGACAGGAGUAAGGUAGAGAGCAGCUGGUCUGCCUCCAGACAACAGAUAGACAGUAGGAGUUCAGGCUCCCAACCCCAAGACCGCUGGACAGGGGGCAGUCUGGGCCUACAGGCAGACACACGGCAGCAGGCAUUUGGUACACAGAUGGCCAGUGGAUUGUUGGCAGCGGGAGUCCCCAAUAUGUUACUGACUUCUGUCCCCCAGGCUGCAGGGAUGGUACUGACCAACACUUCCCUGACCAGGGGACAGACGGAACCCAGAUUUGAUGCAUACAAGAGUAUGCAGACUCAGUUUAGGAGAUACUGAUGAUUGUUGACUCUUUUCAAUCAGAACUUAAAUAGGAAUGAUCAUUGCACUCAUGCAUGUAGUUUAUCAUAAUUGUACAUAGAAUCAUGUAGUGAUUGAAUACAUUUUAUAUACAUUUGAAUCAUGGUUUCUAUCAUUUAUUCAUAUCAUUGUUGAUUGAUAAUUGGAAAUAAAGAUGCAGUGAAAUG
rnacentral:misc_RNA from 1 species